AUCAAUUCUACUAAGUAAUCAUUUCCAAUGCUCCAGAACGUUCUGACGAUAGCUAUCCCCAAUAUCUUUUACUUUCUUUUGCUAUCUGCCUUCAUUAAUUUUUUGCUUUAUCUUUUCUUCAAUCUGGUUCCCUGUGCCAAAUUCCUACCGAGGCAAGAGCAUGACCUUCCAGUUCUUCUCCCCUCAGGUAAGUGUCUUCUUCUUUCUCGAGCGCUAUCUUUGCUAAUCUAUGGGCAUAUGAGUUCUCAGAUCUGUGGAUAUAUUGAAAAAUCAAUUCUUUAAAAUCAUCUUUUUUUCUUUGAAUAUCUCUGAUGAUGGCUCCGAUCACUGAUUUAUCUGCUGAAGUUGCUUGACAUUUUUUUAUAACUGUUCUUGAAUCCCCCAAAAGACUAACCGAUUGUAAUCUAAGUGAGCUACCUAAUUUUGCACCUUCUAGGCAUGCAUAUGCUUCUGCUGCAAAAGGAGAGGGGAUAUCUCUAUGGAUAACCGUCUUCAACGCCAUUAAGUUUCCCCUCAGAUCCCAUCCUACUAAGCCUGUUGCUGAUCUGAAGGUUCUACUGUCAAACGCUGCAUCAAAAUAAAUUCUCGUUCUCGGUAUGACUUCCUGUGAUCUUUGGCUUCUGUUCAUACUUUCAUUCUUUUUCAAGAUUUUGAAACCUUCAAAUUCUGCCCAGUGUCUUUGAAUAUUUUGUGCUAACUCCCUUCCUGUUGUAUUUUUUCUCUCGUGUACCAACUGGUUUCUAGAGUACCAUAACAGCCAUAAAGCGUAACAGAAGAGCAGACACUGACCACUAUUACUUCUCUUGAAAACCCAGGUAAGCCACUCCCAUAUCUUUUGACUCCUAUUAUUCGUAACCCAUGAGAAAUCUAACUGUUGCCAAACUUCAAUUGUCGUAGGACAUUCUCGGAAGACAUGGAUACUUCCUUCAACCGCCGAGCAGCAUCGAGGACAUCUAUCAUUGGAUAUAACCCUCCUGUAUCUAAGAUUAGCAAAAUUUGGUAUAAAGUCCCAUGAUAUCCUCCAGACUGUAAAUGUAAUUUUUGAGGGCAUCUGUAAGCUCCAGAGUUUUUUUGUAGAAUUCUUUUACCUCGGUCUGUAUUAAAUAAUCAUUAGGGUCUCGACUAGCUUCUUGUAAUAGUUUAUAGGCACUACGGACCGAAAAUUCUCCCGAAAGUUCCCCUUUCCACACUUGAAAAUCUUCAUGCUCAAACUCUGCUAGGGGAAUCUGCAAUAUUUUCCUAGCAACUGCCUCUUGAAAGGUAUUAUUAAUCACAUCCACUCUCCAUUUUCUACUUGAUAAAUCAAUUAGUUCCGAGACUAACUGUAAUUCACCUCUGUUUGUUCUAUUUUGUGCGUCAAGUUUAUCGACCCCCUGAAUCCAGUCAUCAUUCCAAAUGGAGAUACUAUCCCCUCUACCCACCCUCCAGCUCAUUCCUUUUUGGAGAAGACCUUUUGCAGCCCAUAUACUCUUCCAGGUAAAAGAAGGUAAAUUUCCCAACUCUGCAGAUAAAGAAGUUAGAAGACAAGACGGGAAAUAUUUUUUUUUAAGAACCCUGGCUAAUAACGAAUCUGGAUAAUUAAUGAGACGCCAUCCUUGUUUUGCUAGUAAGGCGAUAUUGAACUGACCAAAAUCUCGGAAACCUAAACCUCCACAUUCUUUAAAAGAACAAAGAUUUUCCCAUGUGCACCAAUGAAUUCCCUUAUUUCCCUUGCCUUUUUGCCACCGGAAUUUUGCAACAAUGCUCUCCAAUUCAUUACAUGAAGAUCUGGGAAGUAAGAAACAUGCCAUCGAAUAGGUAGGAAUAGCCUGAAGUAAAGCCUUUAUAAAAACUUCUUUACCUCCUUGAGAUAAGAACUUAAUACUCCAAUUAUCGGUACACUUCUUAAAACGAUCCUUCAAAUUUUGGAAAGCUUCCUUUUAACUUUGUCCCACCAUAUUAGGCAGCCCCAAGUACCUCUCUGGAUCAUUCGAUCUACGAACCCCCAACAAGUUGACAACCCGACUUCUGUCCUCAUCCAGCGUGUUUUUACUAAAAAAUAUUGUAGAUUUUUCAAAAUUUAUGUUUUGCCCUGAGCAGCUUUUAUAUUCUUCUAGUAUGUCCUUGAAGAUAUUAGCACCUUUCCUUGUUGCCUCCAUAAAUAAUAUGCAAUCAUCAGCGAAUAAAAGAUGGGAUAUCUGUGUUCCACUCCUACUAAUCCUGACUCCUUUCAUAAUACCUCUCUUCAUUGUCGAUCUUAAUAGACUUAAUAGACUUGAUAAGCCCUCACCGGAUAAAAGAAAAAGGAACGGACUUAGUGGGACACCUUGUUUCAAACCUUUGGUUGGUGAAAAUUUAACCCCUCUAAACCCAUUGAUGAUGACUGAAUAGGAAACGGUAGAGACACAAUUCAUAAUGGCCUUUACCCAGUUAAGGUAAAAUCCCAUCUUUACCAUAAUUUCUUCAAUAACCCUAUCCUAAGCUUUACUCAUAUUUAGUUUAACGGUCUUAAACCCCUUUUUUUUCCCAGAUUCUUUAGUUUUAACUUGUGCAGUACCUUAUAAGCAAGUAAAACAUUGUCUGAUAUCAAACGCCCUGGUACAAUAGCGCUUUGGGCUUCAUCAAUACAUUUCCCAAUAACAUUUCGGAGCCUAUUAGCAAUAACCUUUGCAAUAAUUUUAUAGAGAACAUUACAAAGACUGAUUUGCCUAAACUGCGACAGGUUAAAAGGACUCUCAACUUUGGGUAUAAGCACUAUAUCUGUAGAAUUAAUUUGACUAACCUCCAAAUCACCAUUCAACAAUCGGAGACAGUAGGCCAUAACAUCAUCUCCCACAAUCUGCCAACAUACAUUUUUGGUAAAAAGCUACUGGUGAGCCAUCUUCACCUGGUGCCUUUGUUGUGCCCAUACCAAAGCCAUCUUCACCGCUCGACCCCUGUUUAUAUAUGAUCAUAAUUCCCCUUGCUACCUGCUGAAAAUAUGUUUUGAAAAUAAGCCCGUGCCGUAACCUCAAUGUCCUGCACAAACACAAUCUCUCCCUGUCUUCAUUUUUUAACUUGUCAAUAAAAUUUCUCUUCUUUCGUUGUGAAGCUUGUCUGUGAAAGAAUUUUGUUUUUUUAUCUUUAAACUUCAAUCAAUUUAUUUUGGCCCUUUGUUCCCAAUAGCACUCGUCUUUUUCAAUCUCAAAAUUAAGACUUAUCCUUGUAUCGAUCAAUUCAGCUAAAGUCUUAUCGUCCCUUUCUGCUACAUCUAGUUCUUCAAGCUUUUAUGUCGGAACUCGUUUAGAUCACUUUCUGUUAAAUUGGAUUCUUUUUGCCCAUUUCUUUAGACCUUUUAAAUUCGCCAGUCUAUGAAGCAAUUCCCCAGAAGAAUUUUCCCACAGAAUCUUAACUUCAUUAAUAAAGGACUCCUCCAUUAACCACCAGGCUUCAAAUCUAAAAUUACUAAUCCAACCUAGAUCAUAUUUCAUGGUAUCCAAAAGAAUAGGACAGUGAUUUGAAAUCGUAUGUGUGAGAUGUUGAGGUUACACUUUAGGAAACAGCACAAUCCACUUUGUGUUAGCCACUCCUCUAUCAAGACGUUUUUGAAUAUUUGUCUCAGGUAAAUUACCCCCUCCCAAGUGAACCAACGGCCCAUAAAACCCACGUCAUAUUGGUGACAAUCUUCAAGCGUUUUUCUGAAGAACUCCAUCCUUCUUUCAUCUCUAGGCAGUCCUCUUUUCUUCUUGAAUCCAUACAUGAUUUCGUUAAAAUCGCCACACACCAUGGAAUUGCCUCUCCCACUGCUAAUUUCUUCAAAACUUCCCAUGAAUCACUUCUGUCAUGUACAUAUGGAGAACCAUAAAAGCCUGUAAAUCGCCAUUUAACUCCUUUUUCUUUAUCUUCAACUAACACAUCAAUGUGUCUUUUAGAAAAACUACGCAGUAUUAAAUCUGUGUCGGUUCUCCUUCCCAAAGACAAAAUGAUUUUAAAAAAAUAAAAAUAUAUAUAAAAUUUUAAAAGGUAAGGUGGCAUAUAAAACAGGUGUUCCCUCCUUACAUAGCGAAGGCAAUUUACCAAAAAAAGUCGUUUUUUUCAAAAUUUAUCGAAAUAGGCUGAUUUUUUGAUUAUUUAUCGGAUUGGGUCAUUUUUUGCGAAAUUACGUCCAUGUCAGCGCGAUGUCAGGGUAAGUGUCAGAACAACGCGUCUACGUCAGCGCGAUUUGCUUACGUGGAUGAAUAAUUUAUGUUUUUAAGCUUGGAAAACUUUGAAAGGUCAUAACUUUUCGCUCGGUUGUUCGAUUGAGACGAUUUUUUUUAUUUCGAAUAAAUUUAUACUCUUUUGCCCUUAAAUUUUGAUUUUUUCGGUUUGAAAUUGAAUUUUGAACAUUCAAAUCAUUAUUUUCCUUAUUUAUUUGAAGUAAACAUUGGAUCUUUUUUUAAGGAAUUGUCUUAUAUUAUCCUGUUAUACGUAUAAGUUAGGUCAUUUCACUUUUGAGAAGUACCCUUAAAAUUUUUUAUUUUAUUCAAUUUAGUCCCUAAAACUUAAGUAGUCAUAUUUUCAAAUUUAAGUUUCGUUUUUCAAUUCAAUUUCAACCUUCCAUAACAUUCAAAUAUUCUUAAAUACAAAAAUUUCAUGCUAAUUUUGUAAUAAUUACACUUUAGUCCCUAAACUUGUAACUAACAAAUUAUACUUUAGAAAUUAGUCUCUAUUCAUCUCUACGCAGUUUGUCAGCGCGUAGAUCUCGAAAAGUUAUUCGAAAUAAAAAAAAUCCUUUUAAUCGGACAAUCGAGUCAAAAGUUAUGGUUUUUCAAAGUUUUUCAAGUUAAAAAACAUAAAUUGUUCAUGCCACGUAAGCAAAUCGCGUCCUCUAUGGCGCGAUUUCUGUCCACGUCAGCAAGUUGCGCUGAGGUGGACGCGAUUUCCUGGCGCGUAUCCUGACAUCUUGCUGACGUGGACACGAUUUCGCGGAAAAUAGACCAUUCCGGUAAAUAAUUAGCCCAUUUCGGUAAAUUUAAAAAAACUUUUAUUGGUAAAAUACCCACGCAUCACCCUUCUAAUUUAAAUAUUAUUAAUUUAAUUUUAUUAAUAUAUUAUUGUUUUAUAGACAGUGUCGUAAUAAGUUGGCGUUACUGUUAUUUUCAAUCCAUUCUCAUAAAUAAUUUUUUCCACUCCAAUUUCAUAAAUAAAAUUUUUUGUAUUAUUGAAAUAAAAUUCCCUUUCAUUUGAGAAUAAAAAAAAUAGUAUACCUGCACUCGAAAAAAAAGUUUAUAAAAUCAAUUUAAACUAAAUAAUCCUUUGGACCAACAAGAGUUAGAUGCAGUGGUUUAAACAUUAGAGACAACAUCACUAGAACGAACUCCAAACAUAAACUAUAAAAUAGACAUAAAUAAUAUCAAAAACUAAUAACCCCUUAAAACUCCCAUAUCAGGUCAGGUGGCCAAAAGCUGUUCACUUAUAAAACUCCCCUGAAUUUGAGCCUCCAAGCUCAAAACAAGUAACAGGUCUUUAUUUAGGCAAUUGUUUUUUUAUACGUAGUGCGUGUGUCCUAGCGUGUGUGUGCAUAGUAUUUGUGAGUGCGAAUACUCUAAAAUUUUACAGUACAAAAAGAAAAACACCGUCUUAUGUAGCAACAUCAAGUUAAAGAUUUCAUGACUUCUCCUUUUCGGCCCCAAAGGGGCAUGAAUCCAUGCAAAGCUCAAUCAACCUUCCAGCCAAAAUUAGUGUAUAGGGUUACAACUCGCAACAUGAGAAGAUUAGAAUCGGCUCUUGAGUGCUUAAAAUACAAAUUACAAAAUACAAAAUCAAUAUAUACUAUACAAAGAAUCACAAAGAAUAUUAUAUGUAUAUAUGAACGUGCUUGAGACUUCAGCUGACUUUCAAUGGAACUGACACUAUCACGUGUUACAGAGACCCCAGCAAUUACAUUUGGCGUGAUAUUAAACCCUAAUACUUGCAAAUGACUAUGAUCCAAAGUGUAAUACCCGUAUAACCUGACUACCAUAACACUUGAAGGUCAGUGUAACCUAUUAUGUGCUUCAAUUAUGGAAACCUUCUCCUGCCAAAAACAAAAAACAAAAUUAAACAAAUUAGUAUUACAUCAAAAUGUCCCCCCCCCAACCCCUCCCAGAAUAUUCAACUUUAGAUUUUGCUUUGUAUGAAUGAUGAAAUAAACCGAGGAUGGAAAAUUUGUUCAUAAAAUGAUUAAUAAAUUUUCCUUCCUCGCUCUUUUCCAUCAUACCAAGUAAAGUCUCAGUUAUUGUGCAAAUGCUCAGGUUUUCAAUGCUAGAGAAUGUUUACAUCGAAAAUGGUUGCAAUGAGAUAAUUACAAAUGCAUUAAAAACAUUAUGUCCGCUGUAGCUUAGCAUGUUUCAAAAGACGCCCACUUUCCAUGUAAGGUUCAAAUUUGUUCAGAUAAAAGUCUAUAAGCUAAGGGAGAAGGUUGGUAAUUUAGAGAUUGCCAAUGAUUGCUCAUGUCUAUAUGCAAAGCUAUGUGCAUGCAUAUGUGAGAAUAAUGUAUUUCCAUGAAGAUGGAAAGAGAGACCUCAUUUGUUGAGCUGCUUUCUGAGGGAAACCAUUGCAAAAGAACCCCCAAGUUCAUGACAUAUGGUAUCAAUUUGAACAUAAGAGGUGUUGUUACCUGCAUAAGUAGUUUGCUAUUGUUAAUGUUGCAGGCUUGCAGCCAUGAAAGGGACAAAGAAAAGCAUACUAUAAACCUUCAAAGUGUAAUUUCCAGAUCAGUGAAACCUACCAGACUGAGAGCUGUCGUUCCAAGAAGAAGAAGAUACAUCUUUCCCUUCAUGUCAACCAAAAUGAAGUCAACAAUUGCAACAAAACAAUUACAAUGAUGAUGAAAACAUGCUCAAACAAAUUAAAAGCAUCAGAAAUUUCAAGCUUGAAGCAACAGGAAAAGAUAUUUAAUGCUAAGAAUUUUACGGCAAAAUGCGUUCAUAUAAAUGGAAAAUGUUGCUGAACUGUUUCAUCCAUAAUUGAAGCAACAAGAAAGUUAUCAUUCUUGUUCUUUCUGUGCGAGAACCCCCCCCCCCCUUUUUUCCUACCAACCCAAGCACACCUGCUUCAGAAAUAAAUAAUACGAGACCACAAUACUUUACAUUUGUUAACCAGCAUAUCAUUCUUUCACUGAAGACCAACAAGCACAUCAGCAAUUCAUGCACAUGAUAUCUUUCCUCCUUUUUCUAGAAUUAAGAAACAUUCUUUUGAAAACCACUGUAAGGGCAUGACAAAAUGAGAAUAAUGUUCAAAGGAUGAGGAGAUCAAUCGUCAAGAAACAAAAAACUUUAUUGUAGACAUGCAGAGAUACAAACGUUCACAUUUUAAAAAGGCAAGGAAGAAAGAGGUACCUCAACAAGGUGAAGAUUUGAGGCACGACUUAGAAGAACAAAAGCAAAUUCUCCAAUUUGAGCAAGCAACACUCCAACCUAUAUGAUAAAAGUACAAAGUGCAUAGAAUGCACAAAUUAUGUAAAGAAAACAAGACGCUAUUUGUGCAUAAGAGUGGGAAAACAAACUUACAUGGAAAGAUGUCCUAACACUAUACCCGAAAGCCUUGGCAACCACACAGACAACAGCAGUCUUAACAACAAUAACUAGUAUAACAGAGGCCAGUAGUAUAUCCACAUGGUUCCACAGAAAAUGUACAUGUAUGAGCAUCCCAAUACCAGAAAGGAAGAGUGCUGCAAAUAGGUUACGAAUUGGUUCCACCUAGAAUAGAAACACAGCUCAUAAAAUAAUCUGGCAAAACAAAGAAAUAUAUCCACUUAGCCUAUUUUAGGCUCAAAUCUCCUACAGCACACUCUCCAAUGCAUAACAAAACGUUAACCAGUACAUAAAUUCCAAUAUUAAGAAUGAACCCUUGAGCCUUGACUCAAAAUAGAAUAGACCUUGCAUUUAUAGAUUUUCAUUCAUGCCCCCAUGGACUAACAAUGCAUGACCUAAAACAGACUAAAUAAGAAUGUAAACAAGCUAAGCCUUGAAAAUUCUUAAGACACUAAUUGAAAAGUUAAAUAGAAUAAACCCCUUCAAGGCAAAGAUAAGAAUAUACACCAAAGUACAUAGGUAAGAGGCCUUGCCAAUAAUCAGUGAUUACCUGGUCUAGUGUAUGUUGCGCAAAGUCAGUAGUAGAUAUCAUAACUCCAGCAACAAAUGAACCCAACUCAAGGCUGAGACCCAUCUUAUCACUGCACUGUGAGGAUUACAGAAGUUCAAGAGUGUUAAAAAGGUCAUGGGGAAAUUUUGCAUGCAGCGAUAUAGCAGUUGUAUUGUAAUCAUUUCAAGCACAAAACUUACCCAAGCAGACAAUAAGCAGAAAGCCACAGCAGCAAGCUGAUAAAGUUCAUUUGUCUGGAUAACAAAAUGAAACCAAAUGAACUAAAAUUUUGAACUUAUUCAAAUCAAGUUACAUAAUAAAAGAGAUAAAAUAUGUUAACAACUUACUUGAGAUGAUAUCUGCAUUAUUAACUUUAGGAAUCGAGGAACAAAUGACCAAGACAAUAGUGAUGCAACAGUAAGAUAAAUUGAUAAUACCAAUAUCCUGACAUUGAUCAUCAGCAAGAGUCAGAUCCAUUUAAGUCAACCACCAACAACAGCUCAAAAGCUAAUUUUGGAAAUAAGGGCAGAAACAGAAGGAUAACAAAAAGUAAAAGAGGAUAGGUAAGGAACUUACAGCUUUCCCAUUGAAACCAUCCCGUGUAGCAAGCCACUGCUACCACCCAAAACUGGGAGCAAAGCGAAUAACAAACCAACAGCACAAUCCUGAAACGGCCAGAGGUAAGGGAAUGAAUGGAUAUGCAGCAACAAGAACAAGUUUCUGAAUCCAAAUUGUAAAUAAAUUAUAGAUACUUGAUAGGUCAUCACUUCUCUUCAACCUGAAAAAUUAGAGUCCCAAUAGUAACUUGACCAUGAAGAGAAUUAGUGCUACUUCGUUCUACUAAAAACUUCACAACCUGAUAAAAAUAUAAAGAAAGAAUGGAUGACCAUUAAGUGCAUCAAAUAGCAACCAAAAAUAAAAGAAAAAUACUCGCAACAUAAUAGAGAAUAGUAAAGUACAAUUGCUGUUGAUGACAUUGAGAGGAAGGAGCCAACAAAUACACCCUCAGAUAAAUUUGCUCCACAUAACUGCAAGAUUAAGAGAUACCUUAUUUUAGUGUCCAUCUUACAAGUGCUCUUAGUUGGAGACAUGACCAAAGUGCUAGGAAGACCUUACCACUGCAAUUAUGCCACACAAGCACAUAAAUAUAACAAUUUGAAGUAGUCCUCCAAAAACAGCAACUGGCCCCACAACUUUUAACUGCAGAAAGAAUUAGUUGAAACAGCUUUCAUUAAAUAAAAUACGGAAAUUUCUAUGCUAAAGCAUCUGAAAGUAAGAAUUCACUCCCAAAACAUCCAACCUUUGCCAAAGAAAACUCCAGCCCAAGAGCAAAAAGAAGAAAGACAACACCAAACUGUGCAACAGUUUCAACCUACGAAAAACGAAUGAGCAUAUCACCAAAAUAAUAAAAAUAUAGAAAAUCAUAUCACUGAUUGCAUUUUCUUUUCUUUCUUUAUUUUUUAUUUGUUUUGUUUUUUGCAAAAGACAUCAGAGAAUGAAUUUUAGAUGAUAUAAUUUAGGCAUUAUUAGCUGCUAUCAGCUGAAAUUUUUUUAAAUAAUAAAUGAACAGGGAAAAGUCACAUUUUUGGGAUAUAAUUCCAAGCAAGUCUCAGGAAUUUAUUAACAAAGAAAAAUAAAAUAUUUUCCAAAACAAAAUCUUUAACAUGGAUCAUAAGGCAUGUUUCCCCUCCAUGGUACCAUCAGUGAAGCUAUCUCAAUACUAGAAAAUAACGUGUACUAAAACAUUAACUCAUAUAAAACUCCAUUAUUAAGAAACAAGAAGCUCGAGCUAUUAUAAACAACAUACCUGUACCAUUUCACUAAUGAAUUUCAAACCCCCUGGUCCAAUAAGUGAACCCGCCAGAAGAUAGCCCACAAUAACCUAUCAUGUGCAUAGGUUUAGGAAAAGUAAAGAAAGACAACUUCUUUCUUGCAAAAAGACAACUUCUUUCUUGCAACUUUCGUGAUAGAGCUGCAUAUCAAACUCAAGAAAAAGAAAACAACUGUUGAACGCAAAGUAAAUAAAUGCUAAUUUUAGAUAAACAUACCGGUUGCCCCAGACAUGAAAAGAUAAUACCACCAAUGGCAGCAGAGACUAUGACAACCACCAAAUCUGAUAUCAAUCUGCACAAGGGUGAUACAGUAUGUUACAAAUAAUUUUUAUUGGAUAACAGGACAAUUUACUACACCAUAAAUCUCAGUUGUAUGUUAUAUUCAUAAUCAAAACUCAAUGGCAGCACCAGAACCAAACAGGAAUAGUUUUCAAUUGUUCAUCACAAUGCCAACCAACUUGUAGUAAUAUGGAACCGGAGACUGUAUCAGAUAGUGCAAGGAUAAAGGAGAUAAAGAUGCUAACCUCAAAUCAACUUGGAGCACUGGAUACUUGGAUUUUCUAUUUGACAUUACAAACACAUUAUCCUAACAUCAAAUGAGAAAGGCAAAUUAGAAUGGAUUCAAUUAAAAGCAAAAGCAAUCAACAUAAAACUGCAUAGUUAAUCCUGCUACACAUGAGAGAGAGAGGGGGGGCGGGGGGAGGAACUAACAUUUGACCCACCUUUUUAUCAAUCAAGGUUGUCGUCUCAUCAGAAUCUUCAUUUUCCAGGGAAAAGACAUCUUGAAUCUGGAAUGCUCUUGUACCACUGUUGAUAAUGUUGGGAAAAAAAGUCAACUCACAAAAAAAAAAUUUAUUUAUUAAAUUUUUAUUCCUCCAAAAAUAAAUGUAUUCUCAUACUUUGUCUCUUGUGUAUCAUUUCUCUUCCCCUUCUCAUGAGUGAUUUUAGCUACAGUCUCCAGUACAGCCUGAAAAACAUAUAAGGAAGCAUCCUUAAAACAGACACCAAAAGGAAAACUACACAGUAAGCACAAGGGUCACCUAGGAACAAAGGUAAUAAAGGGCACAUAAUUCCAAUAUGCAUGAUAUCCAAACCCAACCUUUCCUCAAUAAUUAUAGGAUCCUGAGUGAUCAUACACAUAACCAAGAUCACUCAGUAGAUUAUUUUAUUUAUUCCUUUAAAAUCGGAUGCCUACUAAAGUUUGGAAAAAGAUUUUGAAGAAAACAAAUGUAACAGGCUUAUAUAUCUGAGCUCAAGCCAAAACCAUAAAUCUACUAAAAAUCAAAAUGAGAAAUUGGGCCUUGGCAACAAUAUGCUCGUAAAAGAGUGAACCUACAGAGGAAACACUAUAAUCCAGUUUUCCUUAGUAUCAAAACAAUAAAAAGAAAAAAAAAAAGAAUUUCAGUCGGAGCAAUGGGCUUCAAAAGAGAGCCAAACCUACUUGCUGAUCAGCUACACUAGUAUUGAAAUUGCUUGCAUCAGUUCCUAACAAAAGAAGAAAAAAGGAAAAUAGAGUAUCAGCUAAAAGAAUUAAAGAGCCAAUAAAUUGUGCAUAAAUUAACCGCACUCCUAGAUCAUUUAGAGAUCUAAAUGAUGAUCAUAGAAGAUUCAUGUAAAAAGGGAAAUGAAGAUUCUAAUUUGCUUAAAUUUGAGUUCGAUGCCAUACAAGUCAAGCUACAAAUAUUGUGAUAUUUUUCCUUCUUGUUCAUAAUUAAAACAAAAGCAAACAAACUAGUCUUCUAGCUAUAUUGUUUUUACUUCAGUGUCCUUUUAUGUGGAACUUAUUUUAACUACUAAUAGAAUAUCUGAAUAUGUUUGCGCUUUUACUGAACGUUUAAACUUAAAAUUGAGCCUGCAGCUUUGUAAAAUAACAAGACCUCCAGCAUAAAGAUCAAGAUCCAGCAAUUCGUUUUUUUUUUAAAAAAAAAAAAAUCCCUGUGCUUUCUCGGCCUAUUAAAGGAUUCCAACAUAUAAAAAUAAUGAACAGGGAAAAAAAAGGCAAACCUUCAGUUUGAUCAUUUUCGGAGAACUCCUUCUCAAGAACCCGAUCGAACAUUUUGGCAAUACUCCCUUCGCCGGUACCCGUCACCGACGAAUUCACAAGGUUACCGUAAAACCUUUCCCGGAUUUCAUUAUCAGAUCUCGCCGAUAGACAUAUCCUCGCGUAUGAUAGCACCACCACCAAACAAUAAACGGAUCCAAGCACUCCACGUCUCGAGGAGCAAAUCGCCAUUCUGUAAAUCCCUCUCUCUCUCUUCCUUUUUUGUUGUCCUUUCUUUCAAAUUUUUUAAAGCAAAUUUGCAGGAUUAAAAAACACAAAAACAAUGCAGAAGGGGACGUUCUGGGAAUUUGAAAUCUGGAUGAAGAGAGGGAGGUUUAUAGAUGUAGGUGGGGUUCGUUAAUUGGGAUUUAACUGUCCGGCGGAGAUCAUAUUUGUGAAAAUAGCCGGGCGCGUUAAUAAUAAAAAGAUCUUACUAUUAUUACGGCGUAUUAUGUUUACUACUAGAUACGAAGAACAACGGGAAAUGUAAAUAAAUUACCGAUGAAAAAUAAAAUAAAAAAUUUUAUUAUGUAAUAAUGUAAUUACGUAAAACUAAUUCUAUCACACUUUUGAUUUAGCACGAUAGUUUUGAUUCAAUCCCUAAUAAUUUUAUUUUUAUCUUAAUUAUAAAAAAAAUUAUUACACCAUAUACAUGUGGUAAACUUAAUAAUAUAAUUUAUUUUAAAUACGAAAUAUUUAUUUCUAUAAUUUUCUUAAUUUAGUUGGUGCUCAAUUAACUUACGACAUCAUUUUAAUAAAAAUGUUUAUUAAUAAUAUAAAUUACAGAUGAGAAAUGUAAAAUAAUACAAUUAUGUAAUAAUUAUUAACACCUUCAAAAAAAUAUAAUUUAUUUUGUAAAAUAAUAGUAUUUUAGUCAUUAUCCAAUUAAGAUUAAAUUAGACCUGUCUAUAAAUUAGGUCACAGUCGAAUUUCAAAAUAGUUUCAAACUCAUACUCGUUUUUAUCCUAAUUUGCUUAAAAAUUCUGUUUUAUUGUUUAAAAUUUAAUAAAAUGUUUUUAUAUUAAUAUUUUACAUAUUUUUUAAUCAAACUUAAUUUUAUAAAUAUUUUUAUUAUUUAAAUUAAACUCGAAUCGAGUCAAUCUAGUCAAAGAGAUAAAUUUAAUAAGUUGAGCUUAUCAGUCGAGUAAGCUGUCCAAGUCCAUAGGUAACUCUAGACAUAAUAUAUAGUAUAGAUAAUUAAAUAUGAUGCGAAGAAAUAAUAUUUUUAAAAUGUAAUAUAAAAUAAAUUAUUUUAAAAAUAUAAAUAUGGGUUGUUUUUUCGAAAAGGUUAAUCAAUUUGUAUGAAAAAUGAGAUGGAACAUUCUUUUUACAAUAUGUACAUUUCAAAAGUUGGCUUCAAUUAGACUUUUAUUUCCUCGGAGAGUUAAACCUUUAUUCAACAGUAAUUUUUUGUAUGUGUAUUAUUAUUAAUAUAGGAGGAUGUAAAUUUGAGUAUAUUAAAAUAUAUUCUUCUCUUAUUUAUGAAUUAAGAAAGUGGUUAUAGAUAAUUUUAGACAUUAUGUAAAAAAAAAUGAAAGGUUUACAUUAGGAAUAUUGUGAAAAGGCAUUAUUUAUUUACAAAAUAAUUUAUUUUUAAAAAUAUUUUUCAAGAGUAUAUAUAUUUUUUUUAAUUUAUACAAUCAUUCAUGAGUAUUGAGUUUAAUAUAAAAUUUUAAACCCUAAACUUUUUCGGAAAUAAUAACUAAAUAAAAAAAGAGAAUUUCAACUGACUAGACUAACUUUGGACCUUGAUUUUCACAUGUGUCGAGUUUCACUUUUGUAUUUUUACUAUUUCUCUUACAUUUUAGUCACUAAUGAUUUAGUAUAGUUUAGGGGUAAUUUACCAAUAAAAACUUUUUUUUUUCAAAAUUUACUGAAAUGGGCCAACUAUUUAAUUAUUUACCGGAAUGGUCCAUUUUCCGCGAAAUCGCAUCCACGUCAACGCGAUGUCAGGGUACGCGUCAGGAAAUCGUGUCCACGUCAGUGCGACUUGCUGACGUGGACGGAAAUCACGCCCUAGAGGACGCGAUUUGCUGACGUGGCAUGAACAGUUUAUGUUUUUUAGCUUGAAAAACUUUGAAAUGCCAUAACUUUUGGCUCGGUUGUCCGAUUGAGACGAUUUUUUUUAUUUUGAAUAACUUUUCAAGAUCUACACGCUGAAAAACUGCUUAGAGAUGAAUAGGGACUAAAUUGUAAAGUAUAAUUUGUUAGUUACGAGUAUAGGGACUAAAGUGUAAUUAUUUCAAAAUUAGCAUGAAAUUUUUGUAUUUAAGAAUAUUUGAAUGUUAUGGAAGGAUGAAUUUGAAUUUGAAUUGAAAAACGAAGCUUAUAUUUGAAAAUAUGACUAUUUAGGUUUUAGGGACUAAAUUGAAUAAAAUGGAAAAUUUUAGAACUUCUCAAAAGUGGAAUGAGCUGACUUAUACCUAUAACAGGACGAUAUAAGACAAUUCUAUAAAAAAAUCCGGUGUUUACUUUAAAUAAAUAAGGAAAAUAAUGAUUUGAAUGUUUCAAAAUUCAAUUUUAAACCAAAAAAUCAAAAUUUAGGGGCAAAAAGGAUAUUUUUCGACAAAAACUGCGGCAAACCGCCUUCGGUUGUUUGUUAGCGCGUAGAUCUCGAAAUGUUAUUCGAAAUAAAAAAAAAUCGUCUCAAUAGGACAACCGAGCGAAAAAUUAUGACCUUUCAAAGUUUUCCAAGCUUAAAAACAUAAACUGUUCAUCCACGUCAGCAAAUCGCGCUGACGUGGACGCGAUGUCCUGACACGUACCCUGACAUCGCGUUGACAUGGACGCGAUUUCGCGGAAAAUGACCCAUUCCGGUAAAUAAAUAAAAAAUUUGUAACAGCCCGAUUUUGGGCCUAGUCGGAAUAGUGGUUUCGGGACCACAAAUCCGACGAGGGAAAAUAUGGUUAUUAUUAUAUUUUUAUGGUCUACAAUUUCACGGAAAAUUUUCGUAAAAAUUUCGUUCGAAAAUUUCGACGUUUGGGCACUCAAUUUAGUCAAAAGGACUAAAUUGUAAAUAGUGCAAAAGUUGAGUUCUAUAUGUAGAAGUAUCUAAUUGAUAUGAAAUUUUAAAUUGGAGGUCUUUAUGUGGUAAUUAGACCAUUAGUUAGUUGAUGGACAAAAAUAGACAUAAGAAAUGAGAGAAAUAGAUUUUUUUUAAGUGGGGGCAUAUUAGUCAUUUGGCAAUAAAAAAAAUAAAAUGGGAAAAAGAUGACAAAAAUCAUCAUCUUCCUCAUUAGUUGCUGCCGAAAUUUGAAGGAAGCCAUAGCUAAGGUUUCUUUGCUUUCUCAAGCUCAUAGUAAGUGCAUCCUAGCCCCGUUUUUAAUGUUCUUCGCAUUUUUGGAAUCCUCGUAACUCGGUUUAGCUUAUUCUAGCAAUAAUUCGUGUUAGGGCUCAUAUUUGGAAAAAUACCCAUAGGUGAAAUGUGUUUAUUUUGCUGUUUUAUGGUGGAAUAUGAAGCUAUAAAUUAUGUUAAACAACUUUUGCUAAGCGAUUUUAAGCGAAAGCAUAAUCGGUAAAAAUAAUUAUUGUUCAUAAGUGUAUGUUAGAGUGAGAAUUUGAUGUUGCCAUAGAAGGGAAAAAUGUUCAGCAUGUCAUAAAACCUAAGAAUAAGUGAUGAAGUUUAAUUUCCGAGCUUGGGGACAAAAGUGUAAUUAUGCAAAAGUUUGGGGGCAAAAUUGUAAUUUUUCAAAAAGUUGGGUGGUGGAUUAUUUUAAUGAAUGUGAACAUUAAAUGAGUUAAAUUUGCUAUUAUAGAUCAAGAAAGACGUGAAGAUUAUCUCAAACGAGGAAAAGAAAAGAUAGUGGAGUGAAGUGCAAAAUUACGAUAUUUUGCACCGAGGUAAGUAAACACGUGACUUGAUGUAUUAUUUUGACAUUAAUUGAUAUAUGUUGAGAUUUAUUUGGAAUUAAAAUAAAUGUUUGGCCAUAUCCUAAAAAUGUUGUUAAAUCGGGAAAGGUGGUAAAGGGUUGCAAUAUAUGAUUUAUGGGUUGAACACUCGGAAUAAGCCGAAGUAUGUUGUACAUAAAGGGGUUGCUGUGUGCUGAUUCCCCGAUUCAUUGGUGGUGCUAUGUGCGAUAUCCACCGUAUCUUUGAAAUGUGAAAGGGGGUUGCUAUGUGCUGAUUCCCCCGAGGGGUUGCUAAGUGCUGAUUCCCCAGUUCAUUGGUGGUGCUAAGUGCGAUAUCCACCGUAUCUCUGAAAUAAAAAGGGGGUUGCUAUGUGCUGAUUCCCCCAAGGGGUUGCUAAGUGCUGAUUCCCCGAUUAAGUGGUGGUGCUAAGUGCGAGAUCCACCAAUAACGGUUAACAUUCCGAGUGCUCAACGAAAAAGUGUGGAAGGUGAAUAUUGCCAUAUGGUGGAAAUUUUUAUGGGGCAAAUAUUGAGUUGGAUACUAAAUCGAUCCAUGUAUGAGAUGGGAGAAAAUAUCAAAAACGAAAAAAGGAACGAUUUAGUUAUAAACUGUGUUGAACAACAGCAGAUGGGUAACUUUGAAAAAUCACCAUAAAUGGUGGAAAAUGAAUGGGAAGCUGAAUAAUAUAUGAAAUUGAAGCUGAAUGUGUCUAUUUUCAUAUGAAAUAAAUAGAAUAAGCAAAAGAGUUGUAUUUUUGGAGAUAUCUGAAUUUUACUGAAACAGGGCUGGAUUGAUUUCGGGAUCCCCUGUUCUAACUUUGGAAAAUCACCAAAAAUUGUACAAAAAUAAUUAUGGUGUGAAAUUUAUAUUCCUGGAUUCCUUAUUGACUCUAUUUUUAAUAGAAACAAGCGAAACCAUUUUUAAAAUUUUGUACAGAGAGUUAAGUGAAUUUUUUUGAGGAAGGGUCAGAACCAUUGGGCAGUGAAACAGGGGAAGUUUUAAUGAAUAAACUGUACUAAUUGACUGGGUAAAAAAUUCUGAAAUUUUUAUGGUGAAAUGGUAUAUGAGUAUAGUUUCAGGGAAAAUUUACGAAACUCAAUUUGGAGCCCUGUAGCUCCGGAUAAAAAUAAAUUAGCGACUAUGAUGCAGAAAAACAGUUUGCUGGAAAUUGCCUAAACAAUGAAGUUAUUCAUGAAUAAGUUUAUAUUUUGGUGUAGUUAUGUGAGUAAUUACUUAUUUAUCAUGUGUUUACUUACUAAGCUAUAUGCUUACUCGAUUUUAUUUUUCCCUUGAUUAUAGUGACUUCCGACAACUCGGAAAUUUGGAACGAAGUCAGACAAUCAUCCACACUAUCCUUCACACUUGGGGUAUUUUGCUACUAUCGUUCCGGAAAAUUAUGGCAUGUAUAGACGACCUAUGAAAUAUGGAAUCAUCAUGUAAAUAUAUGUUAUGGUUUGAUUUAAAAUGUGGUGUUCAUUAAUAGUUAAAUUGUGAGUAUUAUUAUAAAUGAGUUUGGUUGAUAUAUAUAUAUUGGAUUGUGAUUUAAAUUUGCAGGAGGUUUAAGCAAAAUUAAGCAGAAAUGCUGUCGAAAUUUUUUUUAAAAAAACUUAGUAAUACCUCAUACUCUGUUCCGAGCCGGAAUACGAGUAAUGAGUGUUACAAAAUCGGCCCAUUUCGAUAAAUUUUAAAAAAACGGCUUUUAUUAGUAAAUUACCCAUAGUUUAGGGCCAAAUUAGAUAUUGACUCUACAUAAUAGUGAGUUAAUGUGUCACAUUAUGACUUUGUAAACCACCAAAACAUAAUAAUUUAAUAAUAUUAAUGAUUAUUUUGUAAUUUUUUAUAGUUUGAUAAACAAAAUAAAAAAAUUUAUUAAUAGCUAAGUGACCACCCGUAUUGUUUACAUUUCUAUCUAAUAUAAUAUUAAGAAAGUAACGCAAAACUUUCCUACUUUCCUAAUGUAAUAUUAGUAUCGUUGUAAGAAUUAGAUCAAAUUAAUUAGUUUAAUCGGUUUAAUUAAAAAUUUAUUGGUUCAAUAUUUAAUCAUUAUACUUUAAUUAGAUUUUUCAAUAACGUCUUCAAACUAGUAAAAAUUGAAAAAUAAAAAAUUGAGAAAAAUAUUGAUUGAACCUAAAUUUGUUUUGGGUGGUUAAACUACACUGUUAGUCACUUAAAUGUGCAUAAAUUUUUGUUUUAAUCAUUCAACUAUGAAAAGUUACAAUAUGGUUAUUGAACUAUUUGAGAUCAUGAUUUUUUUUUAUCAUCCAACCGUUAACAUUAUAAAUAAAUAGUUAUUUUUAUUUACAUUUAUAAUAAUUAUCUUUUAUUUUUUAACUAAUUUAUAUUUUAUCGCUUAUAAUAUACGUUGUAAUUUUUGUUUAUUCAAUUGUUGUUUAAAUAAUAAUUUUAUAAAACACAAGAAUAACCCAUGCAUCGAGCGAGAAUGAAACGGAUGAAUGAUCACUAGAGUUCAAGAGUCAACAUGGCAUCUAAUCCCUUUAACCAAAAUUAAAGGAUGAAUGAUCCAAUGUGAGAAUUCAAUAACUUUAAUGGUUAUUACAUAAUUUUUAAAAAUUAAGUGAUUGAAAUCUAACUUUAAAUAAAGUUUAAGCUAUGUUGGUAUAGUUUAUUUAUGGUAAACUACAUUACGGGUAAGUUUUUGUUUAGGUUACUUUAAUUAAAAAAAGUUACAAUUUAAUUAUUCAAUUAUUUAAAAGUUUUUAUUUAAGCCAUUGGCUAUUAAAACCAAUGCUAUAUGACUUUUUCUCUAUGUACUGUCUGUACAAAUCGAAAUCUCUCUUUUCGUUUUUUUUAUAGUUCAAUUUUUUUUCAUAAAAUAGAUUUGGACGUCACGAAUUUACGAACUGAAAUUCAAAUAAUUUUUUUCUUCAAUCCCUGACACUAGCCAUUAGAUUGCCUUAGAUCUAAGUUAAAUUAUUCUAUUUGUUGAUGAGUAUUAAUUCACCGUACCGAUUAUUAAAUCAUUACUUAAAACUUAUUAGCAAAACUUAAAAAAAACUUAAUAACCUAAUAAAUUAAAUAAAAAUUUACGAAUAAUUCAAUAAUUUAAAUAAUUUUUUAAAUAAUUUAAUGAUGAAAUUAUAACUACCGUAAUUGACGCUUUAUUUAUUUACUUUUUCAUCCAUAUCGCCCUUUUGUUAUUGUCCAUGAUCCAGCCAGUCGACACUUCAGUUUUCAGCAAAUUCUCUCCGGUUCCCCUCUCAAGAAUAGUAAACAAACGUCGAAUGGCUUGACUUACUACCAUUUUCCAACCUCACCAUACUGCAGAAGGGCAAAACUUAUGUUUAAUACUCUGCGCAGUAGUUUCAUUUCACGGCCUAUUUUCAGUUCUCCGAUCCGAGAUUCGUCUUCAAUAAUCAGCCGGAACCUUGGCUCUUCGGUUUCAUCUUCUACCAGAGCUAAGUUUUCUGGCUUAUCUUCAUAUUCUUCUAUAUCACGAAGACUAGGAAUUUCUUCUAAUAACUAUACCUAUGAUCCCUUUCUUAACGGUGCCAAGAGAUUUUACUAUGUCGACUGGUACGGUGUUCAACAUUUUAGGCGACGGGGUCCGCGAAGGUGGAUCCACUGGAAUCCAAGGAAAGCGAUGAUUAUUGUCUUGGUUGGUUCAGGGGUUUUGGUCACAGUGUAUUUUGGGAAUUUAGAAACUGUUCCUUAUACAAAACGAAAACAUUUAGUGCUCUUGUCUGAAGAAACGGAGAAACAAAUGGGGGAAUCUCAGUUUGAGGAACUGAAAGCAGCUUUUAAGGGUAAGAUAUUGCCUGCAAUACACCCGGAAAGCGUGAGAGUGAUGCUGAUAGCUAAGCAUAUUAUUGAAUCGUUGCAAAGAGGGUUGAGCCAUGAUCAAAUAUGGAGUGAUUUGGAGUAUGCAUCGCCGGAGAGUUCACUUGAACAUGAGAGUGUACAUGAUACAAUGGCGGCAUUGAGUGAGAAGGAAGGCAACUUGGGGAUUAACUGGUCUCGUGAAGAUGAGAUUCUCGACGAUAAGUGGGUUCAGCGAAGUAGGAAGUCAAGCCAAGUGAAAGGAUCACAACCGACAACAUCUCAUUUGGAUGGAUUGAAUUGGGAAGUUUUGGUUGUCAACGAGCCUGUUGUUAAUGCUAUUUGUUUGCCUGGUGGGAAGAUUGUCGUGUUCAGGGGGUUGCUUGAGCAUUUGAGAACUGAUGCCGAGAUAGCAGCCAUAAUUGGACAUGAGGUAUAUAACUAUAUAUUGCUUAUAUGUGUGGGUGUGAUUGGUUGAGUGUAAAAGUGGAGGGAUGAGAGGAGGUAGUGAAAAAGUGAUAGGAAAAUAAAUUCUGACUAUGAUUGGUAGGAAAGAAAAUUGAGAGAAAAGAAAAUAGAAGGAUAAUCAAUUUUUCAUCCCAAUGCAUAAAAAUAUCCUUCUAAAAUGGAAGGAACAAAUUGGAAUGGUAAGAGAGAGAAAAUGAUAGAGAUAUGGAUGUUAGUUCAAAAUUAUAACAUUUUCAGUUUUAUUUUUGGAUGUAAAGAAAAAAAAGAGUAUAUUUCUUUCCAUUGUUCUAUCUCUUACCAAGCACACCUCCAUCUUUCUAAUUUUCUACUGUUCAAUUUUCCAUCAUUUCAAUUUUUUCCCACCAUUCCAAGCAGAGCCUUAUUGCUGUUAUCUUUUUCUUUUAUGGAUGUGGGGAUGAUGUUUGUUUGUUGUGUUUGUCUGAUUAGGUUGGACAUGCCGUGGCUCGACAUAUAGCCGAAACAAUAACAAAGGAUUUGUGGCUUGACAUCCUACAAUUGAUACUUUAUCAGUUCAUUAUGCCCGAUUUAGCCGACAAAAUGUCUGCACUCCUCUUGAGGCUCCCCUUCUCUCGGAGGUAUGUAUGUUCCUAUAGUUCUUCUGUCGAAUGUUGAUUGAAUUAUGUAGUACACAAGUAGAAAUUGGAGUUUUUCAAUAAGGAUUGAGAAAACAUCGAGUUUUCUCUAAAACUUGUUGCUAUAAUUGGAACCCCCAGAAUUCAAUACCUCUUUACCUGUCUGCCUAAAUUCUUUAAUGUAUGGUCCAGUUUAGUUCUCCCAAGGCGUAAAUGCUGCAAUUGUCAUCGGCAUCCUACUAUGCUUAAUUGCAAAGCAAAUAGAAUCUCUUUCAGAAAUGGGAUCUGAGGGUUUUACUUGUGAAUGACUUGUCUUUUGACCUCAUCAUCAUUAUCUUCUUUAUAACGUGCCAACGACUGGUGAAAGAUCAUUUCAUUCUUUCUGUUAUCUUAAACGACAGGCUACGCAAUUGGAUUUGCUGAAAUACAACUGAUCUACUCCGUCACCCCUCACCUAUGUUACUUGAAGUUUUUAUUCUUGUUCUUUUUAGAAGUAUUGCUAUCCAACACUCUGGAGUCUGGAUGAAACAUAUUUGUAUCUAGAUAAGGAGAGUAUGAUUUUCCAAAUAUAUGAAAAAAAGGAAAAAAAAAUAGUACAUCCAUGUAAGACACAUACUGAUAUUUGAUACUUGUGUGAGUCUGGAUAACAUAAAUCCCACCAAAAACACGAAUAAGCACAUAUGAGGAUUUCUUGCUUUUGUGAGGUUGUUUAUGUUUUAUUUAUUUACUCAAAAGAAUUCCCUUCUCAAAGUUUUAUUGCCUUCUAUCUUUCCUUGACCUGUAAAAUUACUCUAAUAUUCUGAAAGCAACCAUGUUUUAAACAGUCAUUCUCAGUACUUAACCCUUAUAUCAUCUCUGAUAGGAUGGAACUUGAAGCAGAUUACAUUGGGCUAUUGUUGCUAGCAUCUGCUGGCUAUGAUCCUCGAGUUGCUCCCAAAGUGUUUGAGAAGUUAGGAAAGGUUGCAGGGGAUUCAGCGAUGCAAGAUUAUCUCUCCACACAUCCAUCUGGGAGGAAAAGAGCUCAGUUGCUGGCUCAAACUCAAGUAAUGGAAGAAGCACUCGUGAUCUAUCAGGAAGUUAGUGCAGGACGUGGGGUUGAGGGUUUUCUUUAGGAUCACACAUCGCUACCAUGAUGCUACUUCCCUCGUGCAUUUGGAAGCCAGACCAGCCUCUGAAGUUUAAGAGCUCCAUUCUUCUCACUUGUAUUUAUCUUUGUCAGAAAUAUUUAUUUUUAGUAUCCUUGUCUAUUUCCCUUUUUCCCCGCUGUAAAUGAAAUUGGAAACAUGAGUGUUUUUCUAUAACGUUGUAAGCCUGUUAGACGAAUCAUGUUUUUUCCUGUUUAACAGUGCAUGCUAAAGUCAAAAGUUAAGAGGUUUGCGGUCUUAAAUCUCAGGGCACGUUGUUGCCAUGGCAUCGCUUCCUAGAGGAUCUUAACAUAAAAUCAUGGCCCAACUAGGUUUGCAGUCUUCCCCGUGUUGCUUUUGAAAAGAUGGAUCACCUUGCCGCUGAACAUGCUGAGCUCGAUAAGCACAAACAACAAACAGCGUUUAUCACCUUUUGCUAAAAUAAUGCCAAAUGCUGAAAAGUAAUAGGAUACUUGAGCGACGGGAUCUUGAUGUGACAUUAAAAUAGUUUAUAAAUGUCUUCUUUAAGAUAAAUAAUAUUAUAUUUUAAAAAUUGUGAUAAUAUUAAUAGCAUCAUCAUUUUUUUUAGAGCACGUUUGGUUCGCUGUAUUGGAUUAGAGGUGUAUUGGAUUAGAAGUGUAAUAGCAAAUCAACUGUUUGGUUGAAUGUAAUAGAAUAGAGGCGUAAUAGUAAUAUUGUGUUUGGUUGAAUGGAAUAGAUGUGUAAUAGCAUAAUGGAAAAAACUAAAAUGACUAGAAUACCUUUAGCAUAAAUUUGUUUUGGUAAAUGAUUAUUGUUAUUGUUAUUUAAAUUUUAAUAAGAUUGUUAUUAUCAAUAAUAAAUAAUUUAAUCAUGUUUAAACAUAAUUAUUAUUAAAUAUAUUUUAAUUAAAAUAUAUAAUUUAAUAAAAUUCUUAAUAAUUAGCAUAAAUUUGUUUUGGUAAAUUAUUAUUGUUAUUGUUAUUUAAAUUUUAAUAAGAUUAUUAAUAUCAAUAAUAAAUAAUUUAAUCAUAUUUAAACAUAAUUAUUAUUAAAUAUAUUAUAAUUAAAAUAUAUAAUUUAAUAAAAUUCUUAAUAAUUAAUAUUCUUAUAUGAAUUUAACUCAAAUCAUAAUAUAUGAUACUGUAAAAUAUAAAUUAACAUAAUUAUUAUUAAAUAUAUUAUAAUUAAAUAUAUAAUUUAAUAAAAUUCUUAAUAAUUAAUAUUCUUAUAUGAAUUUACUCAAAUCAUAAUAUAUGAUACUGUAAAAUAUAAAUUAACAUAAUUAUUAUUAAAUAUAUUAUAAUUAAAAUAUAUAAUUUAAUAAAAUUCUUAAUAAUUAAUAUUCUUAUAUGAAUUUACUCAAAUCAUAAUAUAUGAUACUGUAAAAUAUAAUUAACAUAAUUAUUAUUAAAUAUAUUAUAAUUAAAAUAUAUAAUUUAAUAAAAUUCUUAAUAAUUAAUAUUCUUAUAUGAAUUUACUCAAAUCAUAAUAUAUGAUACUGUAAAAUAUAAAUUAACAUAAUUAUUAUUAAAUAUAUUAUAAUUAAAAUAUAUGAUUUAAUAAAAUUUAAAAUAAUUAUAACUAAUAAAUUAUAUUUUAUGAAUUUGUAUAAUUUAAAAUAAUAAUUAUUACAUAUAAUUUAAUAAUAAUAUAUAAUUUCAUAAAAUUCUUGAUAAUAAAUUUUCUUAUAUGAAUUUAUACAAUUUAAAAUAAUUAAUAUUAAAUAUAAUUUAAUAGUGAUAUAUAAUUUCAUAAAAUUCUUAAUAAUAAAAUGUUCUUAUAUGAAUUUACUAAAAUCAAUAUAUAACUUGAAAAUUAUAUUCUGCAUAAACAUAAUUAACUUAUAUUAAGAAAAGGUUAGAUGAAAAUGAAAUUGUACAUCAUAAUCCAUAUGUUAUAUAGUUUUACAACAUCAAAAAGUUUGAACAUUGAUAUUUAAUGGUGAGAAAUAAAUCUUCUGACCCAUUCCAAUCGGGCAACAGAAGGUAAACUAAAGAAAACGAUCAUUUGAGUUGGAUGAUCGGGAAUUUUACUCAAAGCAUCAUACUGCUGAUCGUCGGUUAAACCUUCAAUUGACCAUAAGGCUGAAUAUAAAUUUGAAGCUUUCUCUUCCAUCUUUUGAUAUUCUUCUGACUUCUGCUGAACUACCACCUCAGAGGCAAUACUCCUACUGAUUUGAUCGCCAACGGCCUUGAUGUUUUCGGCCAACAAAGUGGCAGCCUCAUCAAUUGAAGAAUACACAUUAUCACGAGCAUCAGAUUUCUUCUUUCUCUUGUUUGAAGAUGAGGAACCCCCUUGGUCUCUAUCUCCUCGCGGAUCCGUACCAGAAACAUCCAUGUCGUCUAAAGAGACGUCAGCUUCGCAGUCAUAGAAUGUGUUUCUCUCUUCAUUCAUAUCUGUAGUACGUACAUCCUCAGCAUGUAUUUCUUCAAGAACAUCAGCAGCUGUUUGAGCGUCUUUCCCAGUCGCUCGAUCUCUUGCGUUUAUGGCAGUAAGCUGGUUGUAGUAAGGGAAAGAACGAUGUCUGAACUGAGCGGCUUCUUUGUGACUCUAAAAAAAAUGAGGAAAUCAUAUUAGUUAUAAGUUUUGUAAAAAAAACAAAUAAAUACUUGAAAUACAUUUUACCUUUACAUAGGAUUCCCAAACUGCAUCUUCAGCAACAACGAGCUGCCUAUGCUCGUCCCAACCAAAACCGCUGUUGUUUUGGCCAUUAAGCAUGUCAUAGACGACUGACCAUUCCCUUUUUAGGCACCUAAUCCGAGAUUCAAUAUUUGGUUUCGCCUUCAACAUUGCUCUUGGUAAAGCCUUUUCUAGCAUUUUCUCUAGCUCGUUCAAAUAAUCGGCUUUGAACCCGGUAUCAGCAUUAAAUGUUCCUACAUUGUGCAAAUCCACCAUGCAAGAAACCAAGGCUGCAUCUUCUUCUGGAACCCAUUUUCUUUUGCUUCCUCAAGAAUCUUGAGAAGAAGCAUGUGAUUGUGGAACACCUGACAUAUUUAUCUUAAGAAAAAAAAAACAAAUUAACAUUAUUUACUAUUUUGAAUAUCAUGAAUCAAAAGGUGAACAGUUUAUAAUAUUAUAUCGUUAGUUCAAUACUAAAUUUAAAUUUAUAACACAUGCUGAAUGAAAAGAUAAUUAAAUUAUAAUUCAACAAAGUUUAGUACAAUACAGAAUUUUAAUCAAACACCACCAAAGUUUCAUAAACUAGAUACAUCGAAUAACAUCAACAAAUCAAUUCAAACUCAAUUUGUCCCUAAACCUAACUAAUUUCUAGAUGCUUGCCAUUCAUCGAACAUUUGGUUGGCUAGUUCCAUCCUCAAAGUAGCCCAAGCAUCCGAUGGAUGAAUAUUUGUGAUAUUCGGUUCAUCGUCAUCCACCACAUUAGUAGGUAAUCCUUCUCCCACAUCCGCUUCAAUGAGAUCAAUACUCAUAUGAAUUCAAAUAAAAUUAUGGAGCAAACAACAUGCAAUAAUAAUUCUAUUGUGCACCAUUACAGGAUAAAACGAUGGACUCCUAAGUAUUCCCCAUCUAAGUUUUAAUAAGCCAAAGCAUCUUUCAAUAAUAUUACGUGCUGAGGCAUGUUUCAUAUUAAAAAAACUCUUGAGGAGAACUUGGCUGAUAACCCUGACGCCACUCGUUCAGAUGAUAUCGCUGUCCUCUAAAUGGUGCAAGAAAUCCCUCACAAAUUGUGUAUCCAGCAUCAACUAGAUAAUAACAACCUAUAAAAUAAUUUUUUUUAAAAAUGAUUAAUUCAGCACACAAAGUUUGAUCUUAAUGAAUAAUUCAAAUUCCUCUAACUAUACACUUUACCAUGAGGAACUUUUAGACCAUGUCUUCUACUAAUGGCAUCUCGAAGCACCCGUCCAUCGGCAACUGAACCUUCCCAACCAGGAAGAACAUAAACAAAUUGCAUCUCAGGUGUACAAACACCUAGCAUAUUUGUUGCUAUGUCACCUUUUCGCGUUCGAUAUCUAGGUUUAUCAACUGUUGGCACCCUAAUCUUGAUGUGGGUUCCAUCAAGAGCACCUAAGUAAUUCUAUAUCACAUGAUAUAAAACCUAGAGUUAGAAUACUAAUUUAAAUCUAAGUCAACUAAAUGUUGUACAAGCUGUAUAUAAAACUCAGUCUAAUACAUUAAACCAUUUCCACCUUGUGUCAGAAGAAUCGGUUGUAAUUGGCUCCGGCUUUUUAAAUAACACAUCGUGUAAGCGUAUGACAGCAUUUAAAACACUAUGAAAUGCUCUGCUAACAGUUUCCCUGGACCUUCUAAAGUAAUGCUUGAUAACUCGAUUUUUCAGGUGAUGGGAUAUGAUAUGUAAAAACAUUGCUACUUGCUCAUCAACAAGCAUGUUUCUUGACGACUUCAAUCCCCCUAUCGAUUCUAACAUCUCACAUAGUUUAAAAAAGGCAGUUCUAUUCAUCCUAACUUGUUCAAUACAAGUCUCAUCACUAGCAUAUACAAGCCUUUUCACAUAAUCCCGUUUUGCAUAAAAAUCUAAGGUAUAAGACCUAAUCCUUGGUCUAUAAGUCUGUAGGCUAAUGCUGGCACCCAUUCUAAAUAAGAACCAAAUCGCAAUUCUACAGAUUUCCAACCAUAGUGUCAAUGCAAUACCAAUUCUUUUACGCCUCUCACGUUGUGCAAUUAAAGGCAGACGGGCCAUUACUGCAACAUAUUAAAAUUGUAAGACACAAUCAAUAAAACAUCGACACUUGAAAACAAACUGAACCAUUAUUAGUGCCACUGCUAUCAAAGAAAGUAGAACCAAUUUUAUUUAUAAACAUGCUUUCGCUAAAUAGUACUUUACGAAAUUAGUUGAUUGUAUCAAUCAUACAUAUUUAUUUAUAUUUUUAUUUAAAAACAAUUUAUUAGUUUAUGAAGUUAGUUCAUUCUGGCAUGACCAUCAAAUAUUUACAUAACACUCAAAUAUUCAUUUCGUUUUAAUUAUCUUUUAAUCAAAUACAUUAAUGCGGAUUAUGAUUGUUUAAUUAAAAUACUUCUCAAAGCCCGUUUAAUGCUCUGCCUUAUGAUUAGUUUUGUGUCGUUAAAAGAAGAAAAUUUAUACCUUCAAAGAAAGAAGACAAUUUUUGUAGCACAUUAAUGCCAAAGUUUAUGCCUUUUAAAUUGAAAGAUAUUUAGCUCAUAAAUAUUGCCCAUUAAUGUUACAUUAUAUUACACAUUUUUAAGUAGUAAAUAUACAUCAACAGUUAAAAGAUAAUUAAAUUUUUAGAGUUAAAUUUAUUUACAUCAAUAAAAAAAUAUGUACAGUUAACCAAAAGGUAUUAAUAUUAUGAUUAAUUACUUUGACUAAUUUACUUAAUUUGAGAGAUAAUUAUAAAUUUGUUUAUGGAAUUUCAAGUAAAUGAAGCACACCAAACGAGGCAGUUUGUUAGUUCAAUGUCAUGGAGGAAUUCUUCACAGAAAGUUUGUAAUGAAAAAUAGUCCAAAAAUAGAAGCUAGUUCAAAUUUUAUGAAGUUAGAAAAUUUUCAGAUUGAGUAAUUUCUGUAACAAAAAAGACAAUUCCUAGAUUUUGCAGAGAACCAGGCCCUAAGCCCCCAGAAUCCCAACAAAUGUAAAAAUAAAGAACCAUAAAAACAAUAACAGAAAUGUACACCUAGAAAAUCGGAUAUAUCAAUCUAAAAUGAAAACAUUUAUUGACAUUCAAAACCAUUACAAUGUCAGAAACUAAUGCCACAUCUUAUUAUCCCACCAAGGCGCCGAUAACAAUUUUCGUUUUUAGAUAUUUAACAACCUCAUUCAAUCAACAUUUCUGAUAAAUGAUUCCAUAAUCAGAAGUUACAGCAUAAGAUAAAUAUAAAUGCCAAUUACAUAACUGGAAUGCAAAUUAUGAUCUCUUCCGGGAAAAACAAAAUGGCUACUUUAAUCUUCAUUUUUAAAAGCUUAAGCGGCCGCUAACAGCAGAAUCAAGUUAGAAGUAAAUUUCCAUUAAAAAGGUAUAUCCAAGUAACCUCCAAAGCACACCAAACGAGAGAUAAUUAUAAAUUUGUUUAUGGAAUUUGUUCACUGAAUUGAUUUUAUUUGUGUCAAGUUGACAAUGUUUUUCUACCCUGAACUGUUGUAAGGUUGAAGAGUAAUGCUGUUUUGAGUUCAUGAUAGCUUCUCUAUGCUUAUGCUCUUAUUUUUGUCAUUGAAAUUUAUCCUUAUUUAUUCAUUUUUUUGCCAUCAAUGACUAACAAAUCAAGAACAAAUCAAGUUCCAGUUUCACAUUGUACUGGCUAACAAAUCAAGAACAAUUUCCAGCAGACAAUCAAAAUAAUUUCCAGAACAAAUCAAUAACAAUAUCAAAACAAAUUGCAACAAUUUCCAGUUUCAUCUUCUACUCACUAACAAAUCAAUACAAAUCAAUAACAUUUCAAGGGAGGAUAACCAACUGUUGACCAUAUAACUAAAAUGGUCUUGCACAAUUAGCAUGUUCCAUUGGAAAAUAUUGUUCUAAACUAUGACUCUUUUGUUGCAGCAAAGCCUACCAUGUUAUGAGGUUGAGUCAAUUUUGGGCAUAUUUCAGCAAAGCCUACCAUUAUCACCACUGCCUCUAAAGGAAUGACAGUCCCUUACAUCACUGCAAUCUUUUCUAUACCAAAUUUUCUUACACCUUAAAAUAGAUAUGGUUUGAAAAAGGAGUGGAGAAAUAGUUCAAAGAAAAAUAGUUUUUUCAACUACCAUGUAUCUAAGAUAUGUCCUAAAAGAUAAAAUGAUUGCAUAACAUUAGGCAUUUCAUUCAUUAUCUUUGAGUAUUGGCAACAAUGUCCAGCAUAAAGGAAAAAGUCUCAGUUGGGUUUAAGUAGCAAAGCUCACCAAUAAGAUUCGAACGAACAACUAAUACUCAUUUUUUAUUCCCAACUAAUAUGCAUGUCAAAGACAACAUCAAUUAGAAUGAAAAAGAAUAAUGAUACAUUAAUCAUUCUUGCCAACCUAACUUAGUUUUACAGUUUUCUACAAGUUGCAUUCUACAAUAUUAAAAAACUAAUUAAUUAAUUAAUUAAAAUUAGAUCUAUAAUUCAUACCUUGCACCCAAGUAGCUUGAAUAGUGAUGCAAAAAAUGAGUAGCACCCUCAAUUGUUUUUGAAGAGUAAAUUCCUUUAACACCUAAAAGUUGAGAAAAAGAACAGCUGAUUGAAAUAUGGAAUUUUAAGUUAAUCACCUCAGGUCAGAAGAUUCAAAGAAACAUUAACCAGUCAAAAUAGAUGGAGUAAACCAACAACUGCACAAAUUAAUGUAGAGAGUGAGACUACAAAGAAUAAAACAUGAAUAAACUCAACCGUUUUUACAUGAAAUUUUAAUAUGGAAGUAUCUUACUUAGGUGGCUAACUAGAAAGUCAGAAAAGAAAACAAGAGGAAAAGAGAACAAAGGGGAGACGCCAUUUAUGGAGAUGCUCAACCUAAGUUCCAAAUUACAUAAUCACAGUUAAUGACAAACACGGAUUGAAACAUGCUAGGAAGUUUAGGCGAAAAUGAAUUCUGCAUCAGAUUGCAUGCCAAUGUCUUGUGCCCUAACAUAGAAAGAAAAAAGGGUAAAACAAUGGGGUCUCAGGCUUGUUUAUGUAAAGUUGCACAUCAAUUGAGAAAGAAGAAACAGAGAUCAGGCCCUGAAAGUGCAAUGAAGAAGACACUAACAAGACAGUCAUUAAAACUCAGUACAGAGAGAAGAAGAGAGUUAGAACAAUUACAAGAUAAUUGAGAGCAAAAGAGAGUUAGAAACCUUUACCUUUCAGUAGCAGUAACCUGGAAACCCACCAAUUGAGAGCAAUCGAAAAAGUGACACAGAGAAAAAGAAAAGAAAAAGGUCGACUGGUUGUAAAGAAAAAAAAGAAAAGGUUGAGAGACAGAGGAAGAGGCGAAGGAAUGGGGAAGCCAAUCGGGAGGCGAAGGUAGAACGAAGGUAGAACGAAGGAAGAGACGACGGAAUGGGGAAGCCAAUCGGGAGGGUAAAACAGAGAGGGUAAACGAUGCAGCACCUAAUCUGAGCAAAAGGGUUGUAUUACAAAUCGGUGGUUUUCACCGAUUAGAUCUGUAUUGUAUUACACGCGUAUUAGAAACACAUUGAACCAAACGACGGAAUAAAGAGGUAUUAGGUGAGGCCCAUCGAUUAGGGGUCCAAUACACCCAACCAAACAUAGUGUUAGUUUCUUCUGGAGCAACAAUAUUUUUUUUAGAAUAAUAAUUGUUUAGAACAAUGUUGUUGGAGGGUAAAUAUGUUUAAAAUAAUUAUGUUUACAAAAAGGCUUUAAUUAGAACAACUAUUAUAUAAUGUAUAUUCUUAUUGAGGAGGAUGAAAGUUCAAAAUAACUCUUGUUUAGAAUAAUAGCGUUUAGGAAUAAUUAGUUUUAAAAUAAUCAUUGUUUGGAGCAACUUAUAUUUAAAAUAAUUGUAUUUUUUUGGGAGGGUCAUUAUUUAGAACAAACUUUACCAAGAAAAAGAUUAUCAUAGAACAACUCUUUCGAAAUAACUUCUACAUUAAAAAUAACUAUGUUGAGAACAAUUCAUGUUUAAAACAAGUCAAAAUAACUAUUAUUUAAGAACAACUUUCUUCCAAAAACAAUUACCGUGUUUCAAAAAAUAUUUGAGAAAAAAUGUUAUAUAUAAUAUUAUUUUUUUUAAAUACAUCUUUUUCUAUUUUCCUAAAUUUCAAAAAAAAAAUUGUAUCUCACUAAUUAUUUUAUUUAAGACGGCAGAUAUGCCUAAUUUCCACUAACUAAUCUCAAUAAAUAUCCAAUCCUUGUCGUUAUGACUGACCUAUCUUUUAUUAAAUAUGCGGAAUGCCCAAUGCCCAUCAUUAUGUAUUCGUGUUGUACUUCUUUGAUGCAAAAUUCAGAUACCCAUCCGAAAAAUAUAUCAGAAAAACUCUCAAAAGAAGUAUAUCAGGACAGGCCCCAGUUCACCAUGGGAUCGCUCUUGCUUUCGUCCGCUGUUAUCUUACUUCUCAUAUUCCUUUUCGUCUCAACCCCUUUUGUUCUACUUCUGCUUGGAGCAUUGACUUCGGUUCUGGUAAUAUUUGUAGCUUUAUUCUUAUUCCUCCAUGUUCCAGAAUUAAAAUCCAAGGCCAAACGCCCUCCCAUAGCUGGUUCAAUGCUACACCAGCUCCUAUACUUCAAUACACUUUCUGAUUACCAAACAUCCCUAGCUAAGAAGCAUCGCACUUACCGACUGAUUAUGCCAUUGCACAGUGAGAUUUAUACUACUGAUCCAGCUAAUGUCGAAUAUAUACUAAAAACCAACUUCCCUAAUUAUGGAAGGGUAUAUAAAUCUUUCUUUUAGCCUUGUUUUAAUUUCUAUUAUCUUCCUUUCUAUGAGAAUGUGAAAUUUUUGGUGUUGUGGAAAUACAGGGUGCCCAUAUUGAGAUAAUGAGAGAUCUGUUUGGUGAUGGUAUCUUUGCUGUAGAUGGAGAGAAAUGGCGUCAUCAACGGAAGCUUGCAAGCUAUGAAUUUUCAACUAGAGUGUUGAGAGAAUAUAGUACUGCUGUAUUUCGGGAUAAUGCUGCAAAAUUGGUUGCAAAAGUUUCCACUAUAGCUGUAGCUAACGGUGCUAUGGAUUUGCAGGUUAAACCCUCUAACAAGUUCGGUAUUGUGUUCGAUUACGGUUUUAUCUCCCGGUUUUGCCAAGAGUCCUAGUGGGUUUAUAUAGUAAGAAUGUUUCGGAAUGAUUAAACAGGCGAAACUGUGUGAAACUAAAGAGUUUGUAUAUGGAUGAACUUGACUCAUGACUUAUAUAUAGCAAAUUCUUCGGUUUCACACGGAUUCACACUUUGAGGCACUCCCACUCUUUGAAUCUACCAGAGCUUGGCAAAGCUGAGGCACUUAUUUAGAGAGAGUGUCCCCUUGUGUUGAUUGUGUUAAAUUUUACACCAUCUGCAGGAUUUGUUUAUGAAAUCAACUUUAGAUUCAAUCUUCAAGGUGGGUUUUGGAGUCGAGUUAAAUGCAUUAAGUGGCUCUGAUGAGUUCGCAAACCAAUUCACCAAGGCUUUCGAUGACUCCAAUUUUAUCGUGUUUCGAAGAUAUGUUGAUAUGUUUUGGAAAGUUAAAAGGUUCUUCAAUAUAGGAUUAGAAGCUGCUCUUAAGAGAAAUGUCAAAAUCAUUGAUGACUUCAUUUUCGAUUUGAUUCGGUGCAAGAGAGAGCAGAUGGAAAAUGAAAAGCUUGUGGUGAGUAAAUUCCACCAUUGAUUAAAAACUCAUGAAACUUGUGGUUCGAGUAAUUUAACUUGUGAAUUGUUUCCUAAUGAACAGAGAGAGAAGGAAGACAUACUGUCAAGGUUCUUGACGGAAAGCAAGAGAGACCCUGAAAACAUGAAUGAUCAAUACUUGAGAGAUAUAAUUCUCAACUUCAUGAUAGCGGGCAAAGAUACAUCAGCAGGAACACUCACUUGGUUCUUUUACAUGCUUCACAAACAUCCUCUUGUUCAAGACAAGGUUAUCCAUGAAAUCAGAGAUGCAACUCAAGCUAAGGAUAACAUAUGUGCCAAAGAAUUGUCGAGGUUGAUGACGGAUGAUGUGUUAGAUAGAAUGCAUUAUAUUCAUGCAGCAAUAACCGAAACUCUUCGACUUUAUCCUGCAGUUCCUACGGUAAUAUUUUCAGUAAAAGCACAUUUAGUACUUGGUGAAGGCAUAUUUGUUAUUCAUAUACAUUCAUUUGUUGUGAUUCUGAUGCAGGAUGGGAAGAUAUCAGUAGAGGAUGAUGUUCUGCCUGAUGGUUUUGAAGUAAAGAAAGGAGAGGGGAUUAGUUACAUGGCUUACGCAAUGGGAAGAAUGACAUAUAUUUGGGGAGAAGAUGCCGUUGAAUAUCGGCCGGAAAGAUGGCUUGAUGAGGAUGGUAUUUUUCGGCCGGAGAGUCCUUUUAAGUUCACCGCAUUUCAGGUAAGAGGAUACGUUGAAUUAAUACUCUCAAUUCGACUUUAAUUGAAUUGUAAUUUAUCCUAUAUGCUUAGGCUGGGCCUCGCAUCUGCCUAGGGAAGGAAUUUGCAUACAGGCAAAUGAAAAUCAUGGCUGCUGUGCUCCUUUACUUGUUCAAAUUCCGACUUGUGGAUGAGAGGAAGGAGGCUACGUAUCGAACCAUGUUCACCCUUCACAUGGCUGAUGGGCUCCAUGUAUAUGCAUUCCCCAGGACCUAACCUGGCUGUCAACUGGGAAAAUCUUUGUUGGUUUUCAUUGCUUUUCUUUGUCAAAUAUACUCUACUUUGAAGUGAACUGUCUUAAACUCCAUACGAAAUAUAUUGAUAUAACUUGUGUACUAUAGCGAAAAAAGACAAUGGCUUUAAUGAUAAAAUGACCCCUUAACUAUAGUCUAUAUCCCAGUCUUCCCCAAGCAAACCAUAAAAGUGCCAUGGAAAUCUUUAAAAAAAACGGUAAAUUAGUUUAUAUACUUUAGAUCAAAGAGUAAAUCCGUCAUUUUAAAAUUUUUUUUUAUCUCUUUGUACUGUUAAAAACUGGCUAAGUUGACAAAAUAAUCAGACGGUAAACGUGACAUGGCCAUAUACCUUAUGCCGACGUACAGAAUUAAUUUUUAACCAUAAAAAUAGAUGAAAUUUUUAAUUAAAAAAUUAAUCUACUUUUUAAUCUAACAUACAAAAAUUAAUUUAUCCAUUUUAUGAAUAAUAGGCCUCCAUGAUACUUUUACCGAAAGCAAACACAUUAAACUUAGGCUUAGCUUUUAUUGUUAGUACAUGCAUUAUAUAUUAAAACAAAAUAUAAUAUCCAAAACUUCACUACAAUUUCAGUAAACAUAGUGAGGGGCAUUCUGUAGUUGGGGAUUAAAGUUACCUCUUUCCCGAUAAGGUCUCAAAUCCGAACAUUAGGAAGCUGCUCGUAAGAACAUACCCACAUCCUCUUGGGUUCAAUUUGUGCCGUUAACAGCAGUGGGUGAAACUUAACUCUGCCUAUGGAUGACAUGAGAUAGAGAACUUGAAAUAAUUUGUUAAUAUUAUGAAAUAGAAAUGUUUGUUAAUUUGUCACUAGGUGUUUAUGUGCUAAAUUGUGGCUCAAUUUAAAACAUUUUUAGGGUCGAGUUUAGAUUUGAUUAAUAUUAAUAUAUAUUUUUAUAAUUAAAUUUAAAUAUUUUAAAUUUAUUUAAUUUGAAUUCGAAUGGCACCUCACAGAUAAAAAGUUUAUUGUUAAAAUUUGACUAAAAAAAUUGGGUUUACUGAGUUUUUUUUUUUUUGAAAUAAAAUACUGGGAUUUUAAUUAAUAAAAAAAGAAUAAAACAAAACCAAUCCACCGGACCCAAACAAAGGCCCAAAACAAAAUGAAACCACAUAAUUGAUGGUCUAAAAACAAUAAAGAAAUAACUUCCUAAAGAGCCUUUCUAAUAACUUACUGACUUCAAAUGAAAAGUAACCGCCCUAAUAGAAAUAAAAUAAAUUAAAAACCUUCCCAGUCAAAUCAACCGUCUGGAUGCCAUCAAUUCUACUAAGUAAUCAUUUCCAAUGCUCCAGAACGUUCUGACGAUAGCUAUCCCCAAUAUCUUUUACUUUCUUUUGCUAUCUGCCUUCAUUAAUUUUUUGCUUUAUCUUUUCUUCAAUCUGGUUCCCUGUGCCAAAUUCCUACCGAGGCAAGAGCAUGACCUUCCAGUUCUUCUCCCCUCAGGUAAGUGUCUUCUUCUUUCUCGAGCGCUAUCUUUGCUAAUCUAUGGGCAUAUGAGUUCUCAGAUCUGUGGAUAUAUUGAAAAAUCAAUUCUUUAAAAUCAUCUUUUUUUCUUUGAAUAUCUCUGAUGAUGGCUCCGAUCACUGAUUUAUCUGCUGAAGUUGCUUGACAUUUUUUUAUAACUGUUCUUGAAUCCCCCAAAAGACUAACCGAUUGUAAUCUAAGUGAGCUACCUAAUUUUGCACCUUCUAGGCAUGCAUAUGCUUCUGCUGCAAAAGGAGAGGGGAUAUCUCUAUGGAUAACCGUCUUCAACGCCAUUAAGUUUCCCCUCAGAUCCCAUCCUACUAAGCCUGUCGCUGAUCUGAAGGUUCUACUGUCAAACGCUGCAUCAAAAUAAAUUCUUGUUCUCGGUAUGACUUCCUGUGAUCUUUGGCUUCUGUUCAUACUUUCAUUCUUUUUCAAGAUUUUGAAACCUUCAAAUUCUGCCCAGUGUCUUUGAAUAUUUUGUGCUAACUCCCUUCCUGUUGUAUUUUUUCUCUCGUGUACCAACUGGUUUCUGGAGUACCAUAACAGCCAUAAAGCGUAACAGAAGAGCAGACACUGACCACUAUUACUUCUCUUGAAAACCCAGGUAAGCCACUCCCAUAUCUUUUGACUCCUAUUAUAACCCAUGAGAAAUCUAACUGUUGCCAAACUUCAAUUGUCGUAGGACAUUCUCGGAAGACAUGGAUACUUCCUUCAACCGCCGAGCAGCAUCGAGGACAUCUAUCAUUGGAUAUAACCCUCCUGUAUCUAAGAUUAGCAAAAUUUGGUAUAAAGUCCCAUGAUAUCCUCCAGACUGUAAAUGUAAUUUUUGAGGGCAUCUGUAAGCUCCAGAGUUUUUUGUAGAAUUCUUUUACCUCGGUCUGUAUUAAAUAAUCAUUAGGGUCUCGACUAGCAUCUUGUAAUAGUUUAUAGGCACUACGGACCGAAAAUUCUCCCGAGAGUUCCCCUUUCCACACUUGAAAAUCUUCAUGCUCAAACUCUGCUAGGGGAAUCUGCAAUAUUUUCCUAGCAACUUCCUCUUGAAAGGUAUUAUUAAUCACAUCCACUCUCCAUUUUCUACUUGAUAAAUCAAUUAGUUCCGAGACUAACUGUAAUUCACCUCUGUUUGUUCUAUUUUGUGCGUCAAGUUUAUCGACCCCCUGAAUCCAGUCAUCAUUCCAAAUGGAGAUACUAUCCCCUCUACCCACCCUCCUGCUCAUUCCUUUUUGGAGAAGACCUUUUGCAGCCCAUAUACUCUUCCAGGUAAAAGAAGGUAAAUUUCCCAACUCUGCAGAUAAGAAGUUAGAAGACGGGAAAUAUUUUUUUUUAAGAACCCUAGCUAAUAACGAAUCUGGAUAAUUAAUGAGACGCCAUCCUUGUUUUGCUAGUAAGGCGAUAUUGAACUGACCAAAAUCUCGGAAACCUAAACCUCCACAUUCUUUAAGAGACAAAGAUUUUCCCAUGUGCACCAAUGAAUUCCCUUAUUUCCCUUGCCUUUUUGCCACCAGAAUUUUGCAACAAUGCUCUCCAAUUCUUUACAUGAAGAUCUGGGAAGUAAGAAACAUGCCAUCGAAUAGGUAGGAAUAGCCUGAAGUAUGGCCUUUAUAAAAACUUCUUUACCUCCUUGAGAUAAGAACUUAAUACUCCAAUUAUCGGUACACUUCUUAAAACGAUCCUUCAGAUUUUGAAACGCUUCCUUUUUCCUUCGUCCCACCAUAUUAGGCAACCCCAAGUAUCUCUCUGGAUCAUUUGAUCUACGAACCCCCAUCAAGUUGACAACCUGACUUCUGUCCUCAUCCAGCGUGUUUUUACUAAAAAGUACUGUAGAUUUUUCAAAAUUUACGUUUUGUCCUGUGCAGCUUUUAUAUUCUUCUAGUAUGUCCUUGAAGAUAUUAGCACCUUUCCUUGUUGCCUCCCCCAAUAAUAUGCAAUCAUCAGCGAAUAAAAGAAGGGAUAUCUGUGGUCCACUCCUACUAGCCCUGACUCCUUUCAUAAUACCUCUCUUCAUUGCCGAUCUUAAUAGACUUGAUAAGCCCUCACCGCAUAAAAGAAAAAGGAACGGACUUAGUGGGACACCUUGUCUCAAACCUCUGGUUGGUGAAAAUUUAACCCCUCUAAACCCAUUGAUGAUGACUGAAUAGGAAACGGUAGAGACACAAUUCAUAAUGGCUUUUACCCAAUUAAUGUCAAAUCCCAUCUUUAUCAUAAUUUCUUCAAUGAAACUCUAUUUUUUCCCAUAAACCCCUUUUUUUCCCAGAUUCUUCAGUUUGAACUUGUGCAGUACCUCCUAAGCAAGUAAAACAUUGUCUGAUAUCAAACGUCCUGGUACAAAAACGCUUUGGGCUUCAUCAAUACAUUUCCCAAAAACAUUUCGGAGCCUAUUGGCAAUAACCUUUGCAAUAAUUUUAUAGAGAACAUUACAAAGACUGGUCGGCCAAAACUCCGACAUGUUAAAAGGACUCAACUUUGGGUAUGCCUAAAUUUACCAGUAGGAAAAGGAUUUGAUAAAGUUGGAUGCAAGAAAUUAUUAAUUAUUUGAUAUCUCCUUUAAAAGAUCUAAAAAAAAACUAAAAGAAAAGAGAGGAAAGCUUGUGAAUUGCCUACUUCUCCCAUUAUGGGAUCCUUAAUUGGGGCUAUGCCCAACACAAUUUAUUAAAGUCCAAAAAGCAAGAUUUAGGUCCUAAACCACAAUUUAUGUGGGGGUUUACCACUUCAAUAUGAUACCUGAUUUUAUUUGCAGUUAGGGAACAACUCAUAAGCACUCCUACAAAAGACCCUACAACACUUGAAAACAAUAGGUAAUAUGUUAUUAGUCCUUGUCUUUAGGUAAAAUUUGAAAUUUAGUUUCUAUACUUAAAAAACUUAAAAAUUAAGUCCUUAUACUUUUGUGAUUUAAAAAUCUCAGUCUAAUAAUUAAUAUUAUUAGUAUUUUUAAUCAAAAUUUACGAACUUGACAUGUUGAUUAGAUUACUCUCGUGUAACGUUACAUAUGAUUAGCAAAAAAAUAAACAUGUUAAUAAAUCUGACAAAAAUUACUAACAAUAAUAAUAGUCGGACUAUAAUUUUCAACUUAAAAUAGUAGGAGAGGAUUUUUAACUUCAAAAAUAUAAGAAUGGUUUGUAACAUAUGGAAAGGGAAUCUGAAAAGGUCAGGGGUUAGGCAUGAUGAGAGAGGGAGGGAGAGUAAUACAAGGGAACAUAUAAACAAUUCAGCAAUAUAUCAGCCUCGAGUGCACUCUUUCAAGGUGCUUAAUUAUAUAUUUUAAUGGAUCAUCAAUUGAACUCAGCUAUUAUAUUUAUAUUUCAUCACGUGAAUAAUAAAUUUUAGAGGUGGACGUAGGUGUAAAAGAGAUGUAUGAGACAAAGAAGGACUACAACUACUACUAUUAAAAUUGAUUUAAUAUAAAAUGUAAUAUAUUUUAUAAAAUAAUAUAGAAUAUAAUAUAUGAGUUUUGGUUUGAUAUAUAUGUUAUAAUAAUAUUGUGAUUUUGAAUUUUUAACAGGUUUAAUUUAUGUUUAUCAUAAACAACAAUUAUAUUUGUUGGAUUUAUUUGUUCUUUUAAAAUAGGUUACACGAUCAAAUAGUCAUCUAAUUAUAAAAAAAAUAUUUUAAACACUCAAAAUAAAUAAACAAAAAAUUACAAUUUAAACAUCUACAUUACACGUGUAUAUAUAAAAUCUUCAGGAAAAUAUUACCUUGGAAGCUUGGAGCAACGAAGAUUCUGAGGUAAAUUAAGGUAGAAUAUUAUUGGAUGCUAUCCAUUGCAAAACCAGAUUACUCCAAAGAUGCUACUUAUACUGCAAAAUAUGCAUAUUCCACAAUGUUGCUGCAAAUGUUUUCCCUUUCAAUUUGGGGGUGAGGGGAGGGAGGGGGACGGGGAAGAUGGUGGAGGAGGUCCAGUACGGGAGGGGGAGAGGGGCGGGUGGACUAAAUUUGUUAUUAUAUUGAAUUUUUAAGUGCAAUGUUAACAUGUUGUUUGUAAUUUUAACGGGAGUGAUUAAAAUGACUGAAUUAUGUAACGAUGGUUUUUAAAUUGCAAAUUUUUUAUUUUGGCUGCCUAAAAUGAUUUAAGCAUUUAAGUUUACCCCUUAAAAUACAAUUGCAUCAAAAUCAAAUUUUCAAAUGAAAAAAAUCAGAGUUUCAUAAGUAUAAUUUUAAUAAAUCAAAGUUCACGUAAAUCAAAAUUUAUAUGUAACUUUGAUAUUUAUCCCUAAAAAUGUAAUUAUUAUAUUUAUAUUUGGUCUAAUUAUGCUUUCAAUCCCUAUACUCCUUGCACAUAUGAAAUUUAGUCCCUCUAUAUUAAAUCUGGGAAAUUUAGUUCCUCUAGUCUUUUGAUUUAAUAAUUGAAGUCGAAUUGAUAUCUAGAGAUUAAAACAAAAUCUAUAACUGACGGAUUUUUACUCGACUUGAUUUUAUAAAGUUGAAUUCCUCCAACAAGUGGACAACGGAUGAGAUAAGUUUUCUUUACCUCAAGGCCCAAUAAUGAGGUGAAAAACAAAGUUGAUCAAGACAAGAUUGAAUGGGGCUAUACAAAACUUCGUUACAAAGGCCUUAGCAGUGCACAUGAGGCAAAAACAAAAUCAAUAUAUACUUUCUUGUUAUCAAGAAAAUCAAGAAACCGAAUUUUAGUUCAAUUUUUUUGUUUUGAGUGAUUUUAAGAAUUAAGAAAAUCAUGAUUUCAAAUCUUGUAAUUCUUGAUCCAAGAAACCAAAUUUCGAAGCUGGUGCAUGAUGGAUUAAAUUUAUGAGUUUGAACGAGCCAAUUCUUACACAAAAUAGUCUUAUUUUGGUUUAAAAUUUUAUCUGAACAAAUUGUUUAUUCUUUUUUUACUUCAGAUUUAGUUGGAGGCUUGUUUAGGGUUUAAGAACGAUUUCUUUCCUUCCAAGAAACUCUAUUCUAAUCUUUCAUAGACUUUCUCCUAGUUGCUUCUCUCUUUCUUUGCUGUUUGGUUUUCUUUCUUAAUCUAAUAUGUUUUGUUUCUUUUGUUUAGAUAUAAAUUCAGUAGCUUCUUCUCAAUAAAAAAAUGAACCAAAACACCUCCAAAUACUUGGAUCUUCAUUGUUCUUGGCUGGCCAAAUCACUCCUCCUCCUUUUCUUUUGAUUUCAUUCGGUUUUAGUACCUAAUCUUUCAAAUCUGUUCUUAAUCAAUUGUUCUCCCUUCUUGGCAGCUUGACUUCACUUGGAUUUCUUCAAGAACAGCCCUAACUUUUGAUUCGGCUUACUUGUUCUUAUUUUUUCAAUUAUUUUAUUUUGUUUGUUGCGCUUUUAUGUAAUUAGAUCUAAUUUGGAUUGUUUAUAUUCCAAGUUUAGUUGAACUCUAAAUUUUGCGAUUUGAACAAACUUUCGA
rnacentral:lncRNA from 1 species